GAUGAACGCUGGCGGCGUGCUUAACACAUGCAAGUCGAACGGAAAGGCCCAAGCUUGCUUGGGUACUCGAGUGGCGAACGGGUGAGUAACACGUGGGUGAUCUGCCCUGCACUUCGGGAUAAGCCUGGGAAACUGGGUCUAAUACCGGAUAGGACGAUGGUUUGGAUGCCAUUGUGGAAAGUUUUUUCGGUGUGGGAUGAGCUCGCGGCCUAUCAGCUUGUUGGUGGGGUAAUGGCCUACCAAGGCGUCGACGGGUAGCCGGCCUGAGAGGGUGUACGGCCACAUUGGGACUGAGAUACGGCCCAGACCCCUACGGGAGGCAGCAGGGGGGAAUAUUGCACAAUGGGCGCAAGCCUGAUGCAGCGACGCCGCGUGGGGGAUGACGGCCUUCGGGUUGUAAACUCCUUUCGCUAGGGACGAAGCGUUUUUGUGACGGUACCUGGAGAAGAAGCACCGGCUAACUACGUG
rnacentral:rRNA from 1 species